ensembl:lncRNA
CCUUAAGUACUUUGCCAUGUCUCAGAGCUGUGGGAGUGGGUUCAGAGGAGAACAGUGAGGAUGAUGAAAGGGCUGGAGCACCUCUCCUGUGAAGAAAGCAUGAGGGAAUUGGGCUUUUUUAGCUUGGAGAAGAGGAGGCUCCAGGGAGACCUCAUUGUAACCUUCCAGUACUUGAAGGGAGCUAAAAAGCAGGAGGUGGACCAACGUUUUACACGACAUACCUGACUGCCUCACCAUGAACACAAUCCCAUAAGAAGCAUUUUGAUGUCUGUGUGUUAUUCCAUGAAGUGCACUGGAUGUAUCUAUUUCUGGACUGCAGGAGGUUUUGAGGUGAUAUCUACUAAGUAUGCAGGGGAACAUUCAGAUGUCUCAAAAAUUUCGGACUGAAAGGCAUAGGCAAUGAACCACAGCAAAUCAAACGAACUAUCUUAAACCAUAGAAAGGAAUACUGGAAUGGCAGCAUUUGCACGUUCUACAAAUGAAAUCUUGAAUGUUCUUCUGUGCUGAACGCUUCCAAAUGCAAUGUCAUGAAGUAUGAAAGAAUUUCUGAAAACAAUACCCAUCAAACAACAAAAAGUUAUUUCUUUAUCAUUGUUAAUUAAAAAAUUCCAGAGCAAGACUAAGCUUCUGCUGCAAAGGACAGGCCAGCUUGUGCUAUCAAUCUUCCUUUGAAAUGGAAAGAAUUCAUCUUCACACAGAGAUUCUAUGCAAAAUGGAACACACAUAAGAGAAAAAAAUACGGGAUCUGCAGAAAAUGCAAGCUGACAAAACAUUAAAACAAACAUGCAGAGAAGCACGUGGUCCCCCUGCAGUCUACAGAGCUAGGCGGGAAUACCCCCUCUGUAUCCGGCAUGUGCACAGCGCUGAGUAAACAUACCUGCUUUAUGAUUACUCUGUGGUUAUAGAGUUUGAUUCCACAUGUCAGAUGGGAAGCUGGACAUGAGCCAGCAAUGUGCCUUCACAGCCCAGAAAGCCAACUGUGUCCGAGGCUGCAUCAAAAGAAGUCUGGUCAGCAGGUCAAGGGAGGUGAUCCUGCCUCUCUACUCUGCAUUUGUGAGACCUCACCUGGAGUACUGCAUCCAAAUGCAGAGUCCUCAGUACAGGGGAGACAAGAAUCUGUUGGAUUGUGUCCAGAGGAGGACCACAUAAAUGAUCCAAAGAAUGGAAUACCUCUCCUACGAGGACAGGCUGAGAGAGCUGGGGAUGUUCAGCCUGGAGAAGAGAAGGCUCCAUAAGACUUGAUAUCUACCUGUCAGUAUCUAAAGGGGAUGCUGUAAGAGGGAAGGAGACAGACUCUUUUGAAGGAUCUCUUGUGAUAGGUCAAGAGGAAAUACUUUGAAACUAAAUGAGGGGAGAUUUAGACUGAAUAUAAGGAAGAUGUUUUUUAUGAUGUGUGCAGUGAAAUAUGUUGCCCAGAGGGAUGAAGAAUGCCCGAUCUCUGGAGACGUUCAAGAUCAGGCUGGACGGUGCUCAGAAGAGCUUGAUCUAGCUGUACGUCCCUGUUUUUUGCAGAGCAGUUGGACUAGUUGACUUUUAAAGGUCUCAUCUAACUCAAAAGAUUCUAUGAUUCGAUGAUAAGGAACUCCACAGUGAAGCAUGACUGCAACUCAGUUGAACAUUACCUAUCCUCCAAGCAGAGGUUAGAGUUAAAGUGAACUUAAAUAGCACCUCUACAGGAUACAUAUCCCACAGAUAUUGCACCCAUAUCCAUAAGAGUCCAAAUCAUAAGGCAAUGAGGCAAGUAUCAAGUCAUAUCUAUAAAUCAUCCCACAGGUUGCAGCCUAGAUCUUGAGAACAGAGCUAAGCUGGAGGCCAGCUUUCUCCCCUUCGGCACAGCUCAGAAGAAUUGAAAAGAAAAAUAAACUGUUUCACUCUGUCCUUUGUCGCUGUUCUCUGCUCUGAGCUGCACCUGCACUCACUAAUGCUGAGGAGGCCUAGACAUCUGGAAAGCAUAAACAACAAUUUAAACAGUGUUCUUCAAGUGUCUCACACAGCUACAGAAAGACAAAGCUGAUUUUAUCUUGCUGUUACGCAAAACAGAAAACAAAAACUGUGAGAACAUUUUGUAAGGCAUAUAUAUACACUUUGAAAUAGAGAUUCCAAGUCAUCCAACAUACCAAAGCAAUUAAAAUUUAAAAUUUGUAUUCACAACUGAAUUCUCUUGUAAAUUACUUAAGCUCAAAAUGUUAACAUAAUAGAUCUGUAUAAAAACAUCCAAACAUUUGUGUCUUUAAUAUAUUACCUUUUAAUAUUGUUUUUAGCUUAUAGCAUUUAGAAUUAUUCUGUAGUUGAUAUCUAAUCACUCAGUGCAAUUCAGAAAGAAAAUACUUGAUAAUUACAUUAAAAAAAUUUAUAAGAGGAGGAAAGGGAGAAGAAGUGCUUUUGCUCAAAUUAUUUCAUUGCUGUCAUGUUAAAUCAAAUGAUGUUAAAAACCCCUUUGGAAGCUUAGUAUGAUAGAAAAUUUCAGGAGAAUUUUCUCAAAGAUUUAGCAGAACUAUCAGAAAAUUUAUUGGGACCCUAACCCUAAACCUUAACCUAACCCUAAACAGUACACUUAACAAUAAACCAAGACCUAACCCAAAACAUAAACCUUACCCUAACCCUAACAGAAACACUAACCCUAACCAAGGACCUAACCCUAACCCCAACACAAAACCUAAUACUACACCUAUAGUAUAUAUAGUAUAUAUAAACCUAAUACUGGACCUAAAAUAACCCCUAACCCUAAAACUAAAUGCUAACCCGAAUACCUUAAACCUAACCCUAACACUAACCCUAACCCUUAUCCCUAACCCUAACCCUACUCCUAACACUAACCCUAAACCUAAACAUAAACCUAACCCUAACACUAACACAUACCCUAACCCAACACCUAACCCUAAACGUAACCCUAACCCUAAACUUAACGCUAACCCUACCCUAAACUUAACCCUAACCAUGACCCUAAACCUAAACAUAAACCUUAACCUAACACUAACCCUAACGCUAACCGUAAAGCUAAACCUAGCCCUAACCCUAACCCUAACCCUAACCCUAACCCAACACCUAAAACUAAAAGUAACCUUAACCCUAACCUGUUGCUUUCUGUUAGUUUACAACACCAACCUUAACCCUAACCCUACCCUAAACUUAACCCUAACCCUAACACUAAACCCAAAGAUAACACUUAUCCUAACUCUAACCCUAAUGCUAACUCGAAACGUAAUACUAACCCUAAACCUAACUGUAACCUAACCCUAACCUAAGCCCUAACACUAACUUAACACUACUCGUAACCCUAACUACAAUCCUAACCCAAAACCUAAUCCAAGCCCUAUACCUAACCCUAAAACUACCCUAACAGUAAACUAUACACAAACCCUAACCUUAAACCGAGCCCUAAACAUUACCGUACAUUAGCCAAAACCCUAACCCUACUCUAAACCUACACAUAACCCUAACCCAAACCCUAACCUUAAUCUUAAACCGAACCCUACAUUAACCCUAAUCCUAAACCCAACCCUAAACAUAACCCUAACCCUAAGCCUAAGCCUAACUCUAACACUAACAGUACCCUAACCCUAAUCCAAAUCCUAAAUCUAACCCUACCCUAACCCUAAACAUAACCCUAAAACUAACCAUAACCUUAACCCUAACCUUACCCUAACCCUACCCUAACCCUAAACCUAAUGCAAACCCUACCCCUAACCCUACCCGUAAUCCUAAAUAUAUACCUAACCCUAACCCUAAUCCUAUGCUAACCCUAACCCUAUCAUAACCCUAAAGCUAACCCUAACCCUACUUUAACCAUAACCUAACCCUAACCCUAACCCUAGCCAUAACACCCACCUAAACCCUAACAGUAACACUACCCUAACACUAACACUAACCCAAAUCCUAGCACUACCCAUACCCUAACCCUAACCCUAACCCUAACCGUAACUCUAACUCUAAUCCUAAUCCUAACCAUAACCAUAACCCUAACCCUACCCUAACCCUAACCCGAACCCUAACCCUACCCUAACUCCAACACUAACACUAACCCAACCCUAACCCUAAACCUACUCUAACCCUAACCCUAGACCUAAGCCUACCCUAACCCAAACACUAACCAUAACCCUAACACUACCCUACCGAAACCAUAACCCUAACACUAAACCUAACCCUAAACAUAACCCUAACCCUAACACUAAUUCUAACCCUAACCAUACCCUUAUCCAAAUCUUAAUCACAACCCUAACCUUAUCCCUAACCCUAACCCUACCCUUACCCUAAAACUAACCCUAAUACUAACGCUAAUCCUUAAUGCUAACCCUAACACUACACAAACCCUGACUCAGCCCACAACCGUAACACCAAACCUAAUAAUAACCCUAACCCUAAGCCUACCCUAACCCAAACCCAAACUCUAACCCUGACACUAACCCAAGGCCUAACCCUAAACCUAACUCUAACCCUAAACUGAACCCUAACCAUAACACUAACCCUUCCC